CCUUGCUAGCCAGCAAGAAAUUCUCCGGCUUGAGAUCACGGUGCAUCACUCCCAUAAAAUGGCAAGCGUGCACCACAUUCACAAUAUCCUUGCAAAUCCUAGCGGCAUCUCUCUCCGAAUAAUGCCCUUUAGCAAUAAUACGAUCAAAAAGUUCCCCUCCAGCACAAAGCUCCAUCACAACAUGAACAGAUUGCCUAUCCUCAUAGGAACCCCUAAACUCUACAAUAUUUGGCUGCCCAGACAAGUGCUGCAUAAUCUGAACCUCUCUCUUGAUAUCUUCUCUGUCACCCUUAUUGGUUAGUUUUCUCUUCAGUAUGGAUUUGCAGGCAUAAAUGUGGCCAGUGGAAUUCUCUGUGCACAAAUAAGUAAUACCAAAUUGGCCUCUACCCAGUUCUUUCCCUAGACUGUAGUACUGCUUAAUGUCUUCCAAGGGUUUGCCCAGAAUGGUCUGUGGCGUUUGAACUGAUCUUGCUGUAAGGUUCGUAGGUGCUGCUCUUACAGGAGGGGGGGUUGAUGCCUGAGGUUGUUGGGGCCUUGUUUGCGGGGUUUGUGUUUGAGUUUGAGGGACGGUCAUUUUUGGGUGCUGCACGGCCUGUUGUUGCUGGUAUUCUGGUUGUUGAUAAUAAGAUUGUUGUUGUUGGUUCUGCCUUAAAUUACCAGUGCCUCCUAACCUGUACCCUUUAUUAGCCUCUGAUUUUGAAGGCUUCUCCUUGCUGCUACAACAACCCAUCUUGCACUCAGGAUAUGUGAUUCAAAGAAAGAAUUGAACAAAAAUAAAGACUGAAACUUUGGACAAAAAGGAGGCAGAUUCUGGUUUUGGCAAUUCAGAGAAACCCAGAUCAAGUUUUGGGGCUUUUGAGCUGAAUUCGCAGAGAAUACCCACUCAUGUAUUGAGAAGACGACAGAGGUAAGACUGAUAAAAUUUGUUUCUUCUACAUUGACACUUGGCUGAGGAGAUAAAGGGGAAUUUCUUUUAAAGACAAAGUGGUAGGAGGGAGAGAGA
rnacentral:misc_RNA from 1 species